ACAUCGUAAUGUGAAUGGCAGUUUUGUGUGAAGAAUUCCAAUGAUUGGAAUGAGGAUAAUUGUGUGCUGAAAGCUAUGAGGGCACAGUAUUACAGUUGGAGAUUAUGAGGGUGAAUAUAUUGGUAGAAAUAGCAGUUAUUGGUAUGACUGAAUUGUUGUAAGGAAGAGAUCGAUAAGGUGAAGGAGGAGAUUAUAGUUUCCUUGUGUAUUCAGAUAUUGAAAAUAGAGAUGAUACAUUCAAGAGGUAAUUGAUUGU
rnacentral:lncRNA from 1 species